UGGUGAUCUACAGCAGGGGUGGGCAAACUUUUUGGCUCGGGGGCCACUAUGAGUUUUAAAAUUUGACAGACGGACCGGGCCAGUAGCAGAUCGGUGAAAAAAUAUUUAGCUGUCCACUACUCAUUAAACACUCGGCACUCAUUGUCGACUUUUCUGUUCUUUGGUCCACUCAUUGUUACAGAUGCAGGUUCAAAGGUGAAUUAGGUUCAAAGUUGAAUUAUUGCGUCAU